rnacentral:rRNA from 1 species
AUGAGGGAGAGAGAGAAAGGAAGGAGAGGAGGGAGAAACAGAGAGGAAAGAGGAGAGGGAGGUGUGACGAUGGAUGGGAGAGGGUCUCCGGCCGGUGUCGGACAUUCACAUCUCUCCUCCUCUCCUGCUCUUGACAACCACCAUGGCCCUCUUCCUCCCCUUCGAUUCUCCAUCUCCUCUUCUCUAGAGCUAGCUGAGUGGUCAACGACGAGGAAGAUGGGGAAGACAGAGCCGCCGAUACCAAUCGGCCAAUUCCGUCAGGCGCUGUCAUGGGAGGAGGCGCACCCGAGUAGCAGCACGGGAGGGGAUGAAGGUCGAAAAGAGGGCAAAGAUGCGGGGGUGGAAGAGGAUAUGCCUGUGGUCAUCGCCUUCGGAGAUGACGCGACUGGACGAUUCAGAUUUCUCUCCUUCCUUGCCUCAAUGACAUGCUCUUCUUCUUCAGCUUGCAGGGAUAUGAGGAGAGAACUCUACUUUUGGCAGUGA